AUUGUGGUUGCCGCCGAUGGAUCAGUUCGCCAAUUGCCCUGAAGCUGAUAACAACGCGCCGAGAUUUUCAUUUUUUUUUACAUCUAUUGUAUUUUGUUUUCCCUGUGCUGCAAAAUGUGUGAAAGCCGUGAAAAGCUGUUGGAUGCCGGCGAUGAGCGUGAGAAAAAUCAUGAAGUGAUCAUUGAUGCGGCCCAACUGGAGGCUCAGCAGCAGAUUACAGAGCCGCCGGAGGCGCCACAUGUCGGUCGAUUCGAUUCGUUCAAGCCGCAUGUACUUUUCAGAUCACAAAGUUGGUCUACUUUGGGCAUUAUUUUUUGUGUUUUUUACAAUUGUUUUAUUCUUGUAAUAUUAUUACUAUCAUUUAUACACUCCAAGUUGGUACAUUAAAUCAUUAUGAAAAUA